GUGAAUCAUCAAAUCUUUGAACGCAAAUUGCACUCUCCUCUAAUAGUAUGCCUGUUUGAGUGUCAGCCUAAAAUAAAUCAACAUCGUUGCUGUUCCUCGGUGUCGGUCAUCGGAAAUUUGGUUAUCUUAAACCUUUUUGUUUAAGCGUCUUAUGUUUUGCCUUUUGAUUCCAUGAACGUUUCUAAGAUUUAUUUCUUUACACGUUUAAGGUAUCGAUUUUUAUUAGACGUGGCCGUCAUAUCUGGUCGCGUCUAUAAUAUUUCUCUAACUGACCUCAU
rnacentral:misc_RNA from 1 species